rnacentral:rRNA from 1 species
AUUGAACGCUGGCGGCAUGCCUAACACAUGCAAGUCGAGCGGAGCUGCGGACGGGCGAGUAAUUCCUAGGAAUCUGCCUGGUAUUUGGGGCUAACGUCAGGAAACGGGCGCUAAUACCGCAUACUAUCUGAUGACACUAGUACGGAUUAGCUAGUUGGUUUGGUAAAGGCGUACCAAGGCGACGAUCCAUAACUGGUCUGAGAGGAUGAUCGGUCACACUGGAACUGAGACACGGUCCAGACUCCUACGGGAGGCAGCAGUGGGGAAUAUUGGACAAUGGGCGAAAGCCUGACGCAGCCAUGCCGCGUGUGUGAAGAAGGUCUUCGGAUUGUAAAACACUUUAAGUUGGGAAGCGUUACCAACAGAAUAAGCACCGGCUAACUUCGUGCCAGCAGCCGCGGUAAUUC